CCUACGGGAGGCAGCAGUGGGGAAUUUUGGACAAUGGGCGCAAGCCUGAUCCAGCAAUGCCGCGUGCAGGAAGAAGGCCUUCGGGUUGUAAACUGCUUUUGUACGGAGCGAAAAAGCUCCCUUUAAUACGGGGGGCUGAUGACGGUACCGUAAGAAUAAGCACCGGCUAACUACGUGCCAGCAGCCGCGGUAAU
rnacentral:rRNA from 1 species